GUAGGGAAUAUUGGGCAAUGGAUGCAAGUCUGACCCAGCCAUCCCGCGUGCCGGAAGAAGGCCCUCAGGGUUGUAAACGGCUUUUGACGGUGAAGAAUCGACAGGAUGCGUCCUGUUUUGACGGUAGCCGUUGAAUAAGCACCGGCUAACUCCGUGCCAGCAGCCGCGGUAAUACGGAGGGUGCGAGCGUUGUCCGGAUUUAUCGGGUUUAAAGUGUGCUGAGGCUGGAAGGUCAGUCAGCGGUGAAAAGCUGUCGCUUAACGAUAGUCUUGCCGCAGAUACUUCCUUUCUUGGAUGAGGAGGAGGCCACUGGAACGGAUGGUGUAGCGGUGAAAUGCAUAGAUAUCAUCCAGAACACCGAUUGCGAAGGCAGGUGGCUGUACCUUAAUCGACGCUGAUGCACGAAAGCAUGGGGAGCAAACAGGAUUAGAAACCCGGGUAGUCC
rnacentral:rRNA from 1 species